GAUGAACGCUAGCGGCAGGCUUAACACAUGCGAGUCGAGGGGCAGCGGGAUGUAGCAAUACAUUGCCGGCGACCGGCGCAAGGGUGCGUAACGCGUGAGUAACAUGCCCGUAUCAGGAGGAUAACCCGGAGAAAUCCGGACUAAUACUGCAUAAUAUUAUUAAGAGGCAUCUUUUGAUAAUUAGAACUUAGGUGGAUACGGAUUGGCUCGCGUGACAUUAGCUAGAUGGUAAGGUAACGGCUUACCAUGGCGACGAUGUCUAGGGGUUCUGAGAGGAAGGUCCCCCACACUGGAACUGAGACACGGUCCAGACUCCUACGGGAGGCAGCAGUGAGGAAUAUUGGACAAUGGAUGGAAAUCUGAUCCAGCCAUGCCGCGUGAAGGAAUACGGUCCUAUGGAUUUUAAACUUCUUUUGUAUGGGAGCAAUAAGGUGUAUGUAUACAUUGAUGAGAGUACCAUACGAAUAAGCAUCGGCUAACUCCGUGCCAGCCGCCGCGGUAAUAC
rnacentral:rRNA from 1 species